rnacentral:lncRNA from 1 species
AUCCCGAAAUAUCGCAAAAUUCCAGCCCAAAAAUGCCAAAAUACCCCAAAAUUCCAGCCCAAAAAUCCUGGGAGUUAUCUCAAAAAAUCCCCAAAAAUCCCCGUCCAAAAAUCCCGAAAUACCCCAAAAUUCCGGACUAAAAAUUCCAAAAUUCCGGCCCAAAAAUCCUGGGAAUUAUCUCAAAAAAUCCCCAAAACUCCCAGCCCAAAAAUCCUGGGAGUUAUCGCAAAAAAUCCCGGUACAAAAAUCCCGAAAUAUCCCAAAAUUCCAGCCCAAAAAUUCCAAAAUUUCUGCCCCAAAAAAUCCUGGUAAUUAUCUCCAAAAAUCCCCAAAAAUCCCAGCUCAAAAAUUUUGGGAAUUGUCUCAAAAAAUCCCCAAAAAUCCCAGUCCAAAAAUCCGAAAAUAUCCCAAAAUUCCAGCCCCAAAAUCCUGGGAGUUAUCUCAAAAAAUCCCCAAAAAUCCUGGUCCAAAAAUCCUGGGAGUUAUCUCAAAAAAUCCCCAAAAUCCCGGCCCCAAAAUCCUGGGAGUUAUCUCAAAAAAUCCCCAAAAAUCCCGGUGCGAAAAUCCCCAAAAAUCCUGGUCCAAAAAUCCUGGAAAUUAUCUCAAAGAAUCUCCAAAAAUCCCGGUCCAAAAAUACCAAAAUAUCCCAAAAUUCCAGCCCCAAAAUCCUGGGAAUUAUCUAAAAAAAUCCCCAAAAAUCCUGGUCCAAAAAUCCCGAAAUAUUGCAAAAUUACAGCCCAAAAAUCCUGGGAAUUAUCUCAAAAAAUCCCCAAAACUCCCAGUCCAAAAAUCCCCAAAAAUCCGGGUCCAAAAAUCCCAAAAUAUCCCAAAAUUACAGCCCCAAAAUCCUGGGAGUUAUCUCAAAAAAUCCCCAAAACUCCCAGUCCAAAAAUCCCCAAAAAUCCUGGUCCAAAAAUCCUGGGAAUUAUCUCAAAAAACCCCCAAAAAUCCCAGUCCAAAAAUUCCAAAAUAUCCCAAAAUUACAGCCCAAAAAUCCUGGGAAUUAUCUCAAAAAAUCCCCAAAAAUCCCAGUCCAAAAAUCCCGAA